rnacentral:rRNA from 1 species
CCUGGCUCAGGAUGAACGCUAGCGGCAGGCUUAACACAUGCAAGUCGAGGGGCAUCGGGAGCAGCAAUACUGCCGGCGACCGGCGCAAGGGUGCGUAACGCGUGAGCAACAUGCCCGUAUCAGGGGGAUAAUCCAUGGAAACGUGGUCUAAUACCCCAUAGUAAUUAUGUAAGGCAUCUUAUAUAAUUUAAAGCUUUGGUGGAUACGGAUUGGCUCGCGUGACAUUAGCUGGAUGGUAAGGUAACGGCUUACCAUGGCUACGAUGUCUAGGGGUUCUGAGAGGAAGGUCCCCCACACUGGAACUGAGACACGGUCCAGACUCCUACGGGAGGCAGCAGUGAGGAAUAUUGGACAAUGGAUGGAAAUCUGAUCCAGCCAUGCCGCGUGCAAGGGAAGACGGCCCUAUGGGUUGUAAACUGCUUUUGUAUGGGAGCAAUAAGGGCUACGUGUAGUCCGAUGAGAGUACCAUACGAAUAAGCACCGGCUAACUCCGUGCCAGCAGCAGC